rnacentral:lncRNA from 1 species
AGCUGACGUCACGCCCAGACGUCCCAAGGUAUGAGCUGUAGAUACGCACGUGAGCGCUGGUGGGAGACGCCAGGCUGGGAUUUCCGCUCGAUCUGGGAAUGAGCAAUGCAACCUAAUGACACCCAGAGCUCCUGAAUCACCCGAGGAAAAUGACGAGAGACUCCCUCCGGUGGGAACGUCUCCUAGAAACAAGGCCUAAGAUGGGGCGACAACAGCCCCACAGCUGUGUCCAGAUGCAGGGAGCACUCGCCUGUGCUGUAAGUCUGUCCCACAGUGGAGAAAAGGCUCAGACCCCACGGCUCUGCUGUCCACCCUCAGUGCGGGGGAGAGGGGGGAUCCAUAUCGGCAGUCAAGGAGCGGGAAUCUGAAAAGGCCAAGGCUGAACCCUGCACAGAACCCAGACCUCCGUGUGCCUCCAGAAACAGCCGAGGCUGGGCCUUCCUUGAGAUACUCUUCAACUUCAAGGCUCUUCUCACCUGAGCUCCUUGGAAGCUGUCCCAGACAGCUGCUGGUCCCUCCUCUGUCCCCACUGUGCAGAGUGUGGCCCCACUGGAGAGACUGUUUUUCCCCCCGUGUAUUGGAGUCAGUCACCCUCACCUGGAAGAAUGGGACUGUUGAAUUGAGGCAUCAUGGGUCACUUCCAUCCCAGAGCGUUUGAUUUGAGUGGUGAGGGACGGCCGGUGUCAUCGUUGGAGCUUCCUAAGAGUCCCAGAGGCUGAUGCACCUCCCAGACUCUCCUCGGCCCGGCUCCCUGGGCCCUGCUCCAGGGGCUUCAUUGCUCCCUGCCCCGGGUCACCCCUCGGCUCACCGUCUCUCAGGUGUGGAAUAUCCUGCUCCAAUCAAAGCCAUGUCACCUGCGUUGUCCAGUGAAACAUCAGUGGACAGGCGCUGCCCGGGCUCCAGGGAGCUCCUCACUGAGGCUCACUCCCUGUGCCUCUGCCAUCAGCACAGGGGGACAUGCCUGGCUGCCUGUGGGACCAGGGAGGACGCGCGGUGCGGGAGCAGAGCCAGCCACACUGCCGCUGCUGCACUGUUCAUCUGAGUGGCGCAAGGGCAAGGAGAGGACCGUGCAUCCUCAGUGACAGUGGUGCCUCACCAUGCUUUAGAGAAGCCUGUCCUUGCCCCCGAGCUGCUCUCCAUGGAGUCCUGUUUGCGCACCGGAGGUCCCUGUGAAGGAGCGUCCAUCAGGUCUGGACGUGCACCUGACCUCGCUGACUGAGAACGUGGUGACUAAGGUGACUAAUGCUCCAUUACUUCUGCGUCUGAUACCCAGGUCCAUGCAGGCUUCUCUGGCCUCUGUCCUUGGAUCCUUAAAUUAAUCCAAGGAUGCAGCAGUUGGGGCCUCACUGGAGAACUCGUGUAUUUACCACACAGGAGACUGAGGCAGGGAGUGGGUUACGGAGGGGACGGGAGAGCUGAGAAGUCAGAUGGGGGCUGGGAGGCAACUCAGAGGCCAGGAGAGAAGGCGGCGGCUCCAUCCCUGGGCUGGAGCGGGGUGGGUGGUGCUGGCGGAGCCCAGGGCUGGGGUCUCUGGGGAAGCUGGACCCACAGCAGCCUCGGUGUGCAGGAACGACGUGCGCAGCAGGCCGGAGGCUGCCUGAUUCUGACGCGUGUUCAUGGAGGCCCGUGUGCAGCGAUGAGCCCCAGCCAGCAUCCGGGUGAUCCCCAGCCAGCAUCCGGGUGAUCCCCAGCCAGCAUCCGGGUAAUCCCCAGCCAGCAUCCGGGUGAUCCCCAGCCAGCAUCCGGGAACUUGGCUUUUGGAACGUUUCCUGAGUGACUGGUUGACCAGGUCGUUUGUGCACUCAGGGAACUAAGCCGUUCCCUACCAGCUGCCUGGACUCUGCAGUGUGAUCAGCGCACGCCUGACUUCUGUCACCACAGUGGCUGCACAGGCAGAGGGUGCCUAUGUGACCAGCCCCCUGUAGAAGCCCCGCACUCGGAGACCUACACGGCCUCCCUGGGAAGCGACACUCUGGAUGUGUUGCUGACUUGGUUGCUGGAGCAAGACGCGUGUUUGGUGGACUCCCCUGGGUCUUUCUCCCCUGCUGAUCUUGCUACGUGGCCUUUCUCUGUAAUAAGCCAUGGAGUCCACUCUCUAAUCACGCAGUGUGUGGUGGCCCCAGGACCCCUGAGACGUGGAGCUGGCAGGGAAGACAGGCAGCUGCCCGAGGCGCUUGAGGCAGAGAAGGAUGGGGAAUAGCCUGGCUCCUCCCCGCCCCCCAUCACCCACCAGGGCCUCUCACUGUCUGAGCUCAGCCUGAGGCUAGCUGACCAGGGGUGUGGGAAGCCCAACUCUACAAAUUCGCAGCAGAUCAGCCCCCAACCCCCACAAAUUCCCAGCAGAUCAGGAAGGGCGGGGCAUGGAUGAAAGGGCAUCAGGGCCACAGGCCCAGGACAGGCACGUGGGUUGCUCUUGGAGGCAUUUGCAGGUACACUAAGAAGCUCCAGGAAGGACACACACACACACAUAUACACACACAUACACAUACAUAUGCACACACAUACAUACACAGACACACACACACACGUACACAGACACACAGACACACAUACACACACACAUUCCCCUGCCCUCCCAUCUCCAGACCUUGCGGUCCCCAUGAGCUUCCCGAUUCCUGGCACUGCCGGGCUGUCCUGAAGGCUCUUUUGGCCAGAAAUGGGCAGGGAUCUGAGAGCACCUGCUGUCGGGUGAGUCCUACUGUACUCAUGUCAGAGAUUAGGACGAGAAGACACAGGAGUGAGCUGGGCUGGAGUCUCAGCUGCAGAUGACAAGGAGAGCACAGUGGAAAGCCUGGCCCACCUCCCCUCCCCACUGGGCCCCUGGGUGGGAUACCACCAUUUCCAGAAUGGGCUGUGGGUUGCGCGGGCUCCUGAGGUUCGCUGAACCGGGGCUCUGAGGGGUCCCCAAAGUGCUUCCUCCCUGUCCUGUGCCCCCACCCCAUGGGGUGGAAGAGCCGCCCACAGGCCUGGGUUCCGCCAUGCACAAGGGAACUGGACCUUGGUGACUAUUCAGGAGGGAGUCUCCGGGCUGCCCUUCCCAUGACCACAUGUCAAUCCCCUUUGGCCCCAAGGGAAUUUCUCAUAACCCUCCCUUGGAGGAGCCCCCUCGGUGCCAGCCCACCCUCAUCACUCUCUCCUGAACCCCCAUGAACAGACUCCGUGGCGCCUCCACCUGCCUUUGUCCCGCCAACCCUCCCUGUCCAGAGCAGCCAUGGGGCCUCUUACAGUUUUAAGUCUGUCUGCAUCACGCGUUUCCUCAGAGUCUCCUCAGGCUGGGUGAGUCCUCGUCCUAAUAGGCCCUGACUGCCUGGCGCUGCCUACCUCUCCUGCCUCAGCAGGAGCUGCCCACACCUGUCCUCAGCCAACCAAGCUCCUAACCGUCGGGGAUCCUGGGACUCGGGCCUGCCUUUGCUGGACACUUCCGUCAGAUUUCUACCUGGCCACGUUCCACUCUUUCUUAAGGAUUCUGCUUAAAAGUCACGUCCUCUAAGGCUCCUCGCUGGCCUUCCCCACCACAUUGAUGUCCAGAUGAAGAAACAAAAGUUCUGAGAGGUCUUCAGGAACUUGUAUAUAAUUACAGAGGUAAUAAGGAUUGGUUGGAAAUGAAACCAAGGGCUACCUCCUGUCCCCAAAGCUCAUGCUCUUAACCCCUUCACCAUGAGUUUCUGGUUCUAUUCCUAGACUCUAGGCAUCAUAUACUCCUGUUAAUACUUUCUGUCUUCAAGCAAGUCCAUUUACAUUUAUAUUAUAAAAGGUUAAAUUGUUCAUGAAUAUAGCUUCUAGAUUCAGACCACCUGGAUUCAAAUUUAGACUCCACAUAUACUGGCUGUGAGAUAUUGCCCAGUGUGCAUAAUCUUGCCAAGGCCUCAAUUUCUUCACUUAUAGUAUAGGGAAGACAGUAUGGCCUACCUAGUGACAAUGGAUGGUUGUGAGGAUUAAACGAGAUAAAUCAUGUAAAGCAUUUGCCUGACUCUUAUUAAGUGUUCAAUAAUACUCUCAUAGAGUGUAAACUCCUUUGAAAUUAGGCAUAAGACUUUAGGUAUAUAAAGAGCCUGAACAGAGAUGUACUUGAAUUCACGUCUUUAUAAAACACAAAAAUUAUUGCAACAAUCUUCAAAUAGUCUUCAAGCCUUCUCCACACAUUGUUGUAAUCUAUGUAAAGGAAAAUAAAAAAAUCUCAGCCAGGAGCGGUGGCUGAAGCCUGUAAUCCCAGCACUUUGGGA